UUCGGGGUGAACAGUGGCGAACGGGUGAGUAACACGUGAGUAACCUGCCCCUGACUCUGGAAUAAGCGCUGGAAACGGCGUCUAAUACCGGAUACGACACGCCUCCGCAUGGGGAGCGUGUGGAAAGUUUUUCGGUCUGGGAUGGACUCGCGGCCUAUCAGCUUGUUGGUGAGGUAAUGGCUCACCAAGGCGAUGACGGGUAGCCGGCCUGAGAGGGCGACCGGCCACACUGGGACUGAGACACGGCCCAGACUCCUACGGGAGGCAGCAGUGGGGAAUAUUGCACAAUGGGCGAAAGCCUGAUGCAGCGACGCCGCGUGAGGGAUGACGGCCUUCGGGUUGUAAACCUCUUUCAGCAGGGAAGAAGCGAAAGUGACGGUACCUGCAGAAGAAGCACCGGCUAACUACGUGCCAGCAGCCGCGGUAAUACGUAGGGUGCGAGCGUUGUCCGGAAUUAUUGGGCGUAAAGAGCUUGUAGGCGGUUUGUCGCGUCUGCCGUGAAAAUCCGGGGCUCAACCCCGGACUUGCGGUGGGUACGGGCAGACUAGA
rnacentral:rRNA from 1 species